GGCGCUUCUCGGGUGACGCACCCUGAAAUCGGGCUCUCUCCUCUCUGGUUCCAAGUGUGUCACCCGAGAACCACA
rfam:Myotis brandtii contig305164, whole genome shotgun sequence.